CAAGGCUUUCAUUCUUGACUCUCACAAUCUCUUCCCAGAGUUGUUUCCACAAGCAUUCAAGAGCGUCGUUUACGAACAAGGUGAUGGAGAGGCUGGCAGCGUUAAAAUUAUGUACUUCGCUGAAGGUAAUUAAGUAUUCAGUUAAUCACAUCAUCAUCACAUUAUUCACGUCCACGCUCUUAAUCAAUAAUUAGGUCGUGCUUUUUUCGUUCACAACUGUAUAUGUUAAUUGAUUAACUCCAAUGACAAACUUAAUGCAUGUGAUCGAUUGAAAGGUAAUAAGCACACGUACGCAAAGCAAAGAAUCGAUGUACUUGACAAAGAGAAGUUUUAUUGUAAGUCCACUGUAUUUGAAGAGGACAAUAUGUUGGACAUACUUGAAUCCAUUGUGUAUGAAAUUAAGUUUGAGGCUUCUGGCGAUGGCGGAACGAAUUGCAAAACUGCUACUGAAUUCCAUAUAAAGGGUGAUGGAGAGAGUAAAUUGGAAGAGGA
rnacentral:lncRNA from 1 species